rnacentral:lncRNA from 1 species
UUGGGAAGGCACUGCUAAUGAUUCACGAGUAUUUGUUGACGCUGUCACAAGGAGCUCAAACAAUUUUCCAAUGCCACGAGGAGGUAUAUUCUUAUACUUCAAAUAAUUAUUGCGAAUUUAUUUACAGUCACACUAUGUAAGCCUUUUUUUCAUUUUGCAGAUCAAUUUUACCUUGUUGAUUCUGGAUAUCCAAAUAUGCUUGGAUUUCUUGCCCCUUAUCGAGGUCAAAGAUAUCAUCUGCGUGACUAUGUUGGACGGGGAAGAUUACGUGGGAAGGAAGAAUUGUUCAACUAUAGACACUCCUCGUGCCGUAACAUUAUUGAACGUUGCAUUGGAGUUUUAAAGGCAAGAUUUCCUAUUUAGAAGUUGAUUACCAACUAUCAACUUAGUAGGCAAAGACAAAUUCCUACUGCAUGUUGCGCAAUAAACAACUUUAUUCGUCAGGAGCACGCUUUAAAUAAGUUGUUCGUACAGUAUACGGAGGAGAAUAUGGUGUUUCAAGAUAUUCCGGAGUCAAGUCAAG